AAGACACUAGUAAAACUAAGAAUUACACUACCUUGUCGAGGUAGAGUUGUGGGUUGAACCCCUGCGUGUCUUG
rnacentral:tRNA from 1 species